rnacentral:RNase_P_RNA from 2 species
GAAGUUAACCAGACAGUCGCUGCUUUUUAUAUUCAUUAAAUAGAACAAUAUAUCAAGGGGAGGAAAGUCCGGGCUCCACAGGGUAUGGGUGCCAGGUAACACCUGGGGGGUGAAAAUCCACGACAAGUGCAACAGAAAAAAAACCGCCUUAGCCAAACGGCGUAAUGAGGUAAGGGUGAAAAGGUGCGGUAAGAGCGCACCGCGCAACUGGUAACAGUUCUCGCGGCAUGGUAAACUCCACUCGGAGCAAGGCCAAAUAGGAGUUCACAUAGUGCGGCCCGCACUGAACUCGGGUAGGUCGCUUGAGCCACUACGUGAGUAGUGGUCUAGAUGAAUGACUGUCCACGACAGAACCCGGCUUACGGUUAACUUCAGAA